rnacentral:rRNA from 1 species
ACGGCUCAGUAACACGUGGACAACCUACCCUGAGGUCGGGGAUAAACCCGGGAAACUGGGUAUAAUACCCGAUAGAUCUAGAUCGCUGGAAUGCUUUUAGGUCUAAAGUUCCGACGCCUCAGGAUGGGUCUGCGGCCUAUCAGGGUAGUAGUGGGUGUAAAGUACCUACUAGCCUACGACGGGUACGGGUUGUGAGAGCAAGAGCCCGGAGAUGGAUUCUGAGACACGAAUCCAGGCCCUACGGGGUGCAGCAGGCGCGAAACCUUUACAAUGCUGGCAACAGCGAUAAGGGGACCUCGAGUGCUACGAUACAAUCGUGGCUGUCUAGUUGCCUAAAAAGCAAUUGAUAGCAAGGGCCGGGCAAGACCGGUGCCAGCCGCCGCGGUAACACCGGCGGCUCGAGUGGUAACCGCUAUUAUUGGGUCUAAAGGGUCUGUAGCCGGCUUAGUUAGUCUCUUGAGAAAUCUGGCCGCUCAACGGUCAGGCGUUCAGGGGAUACUGCUAAAGCUCGAGACCGGGAGAGGUGAGAGGUACUUCAGGGGUAGGGGUGAAAUCUUGUAAUCCUUGAAGGACCACCAGUGGCGAAGGCGUCUCACCAGAACGGAUCUGACGGCAAGGGACGAAAGCUAGGGGCACGAACCGGAUUAGAUACCCGGGUAGUCCUAGCCGUAAACGAUACUCGCUAGGUGUCGGCCACGGUGCGACCGUGGUCGGUGCCGUAGGGAAGCCGUGAAGCGAGCCACCUGGGAAAGUACGGCCGCAAGGCUGAAACUUAAAGGAAUUGGCGGGGGAGCAC